AGUGGGUUUAGCAAGAUUUGGAAGACGGUUUACAGAGAGGGGUAAAACACGGCCAAAGGGAAAAGACAGAAUUUUCCUAAUAAUGAGAAACAAAAUUAAUGUGCUGAAGAAUCUCAUAUAGAACAACAAGAGUGUAGGCAAUGAAGCAAAAAGGGAGAGCAGCUACAGCAGAAAAAGAAAAUACUGUAGCGUACAUCAUCUGAGGCUGGAGUAUAAGGAAGAAAACAGAUAUCCAGCCCAGCACCAUGGACCGGGACACCUGACUUACUAAUCUUCUGUGACUUUUGGGAGAGCAACAUGUGCUCGUGGGGCCACGACAGCUGAUUACUCCUGUUAUCAGGAUGAUCUUUAUUCUCAGUAAGGCCUUUGCAGAUGUGUGGUUCCAGCUUAUCGCAUCACUUUGAUAGGAGUCGCACUGUGCUCUUUUGACCCUUUGACCACUGUUCAUUAGAAAUUCAUUGCUAUGCUUCCCUCAAGAAAUGUAUACAUCUCCUCAGACAUGUUUCAACUCCAUAUAACACUAAAAUAUAUUUGAAAUCCCUUUUGCUCAUUCAAAAAAUACUGCAAAACUGUGCUUUUGCAUCGCCUCCCACCCAAGAAUGUCAGAACCCUUUACAGAUAUGAAUCCACACAGGAAAAGGAAAUGUCACAGUCACAAGAUGGGCAAUGAUGGAAAAGGUUUCAGGAACUGCCAUAUCUCACACAGCAGUGCCAUGACGGUAUACAGUACAUACUGCAUUAUAUUCUUUUUGAUGUCUACCCUUUGCCUUAACCACAGCAGCCCACAGGAGCACAUUCCUCUCUCCUUUCUGAGAAUUGAUUUAUCACCAUAAAGAUGGUUUAUUAUACAGCCUCGUGUUGUAAAUCUUUCCUGCUCUAAGGGCUGAUAGAAGUCUGGCACCGUAGUGAGUUCCUGCUAAUUUGCUCUCUGGAUAUCAGGUAUGCUGCUGAUGUGAGAAUGAGCUUCCCGGGAAGUCUCUCUAAACACAGAAAUGUGAGAAUCAAAGAACUUGGUUCUGCUGGGAUUUUUACCAUUAAUCAGGAUUCUGUAUGGUUUCACAAUCCUUUGUUUCCUUCAUCUCAAUUUUAUCCGAAUAUCAAUUUUCAUAGGGAAACAUUUAUUUUUAAAUAAAUAAAUAAGUAAAUAAAACACUACAGAAAACAAAGAACCAAGCAAUUACCAUGAGCCAUUGCCUCGGUAGGACUGGUUGUUCAACACAGUAAUUCAGAGCCAUUGUCCUUUAAAAAUGUGUACAGCUUCAGUUUUAUUAAAUACAAUUUGUCUUAAUGCAAGC
ensembl:lncRNA